rnacentral:rRNA from 1 species
AUCGGGACUGAGACACUGCCCGGACCUCCACGGAGGGCUGCAGUAACGGAUAUUGCGCAAUGGGCGAAAGCCUGACGCAGCGACGCCGCGUGUAGGACGAAACCCCUCGGGGUGUAAACUACUGUCAGGGUGAAGAAAGGUGAGGGCUGUAAUGCCCGAUCUUGAUCGAUCCCAAAGGAAGGCCCGGCUAACUUCGUGCCAGCAGCCGCGGUAAUACGAAGGGGCCAAGCGUUGUUCGGAAUCACUGGGCUUAAAGCGCAUGUAGGCGGACUAUCUAGUGUCUUGUGAAAUCCCUCGGCUUAACCGAGGAACUGCAGGGCAUACUGGUAGUCUUGAGACAAGUAGGGGUGUAUGGAACUCUGGGUGGAGCGGUGAAAUGCGUAGAUAUCCAGAGGAACGCCAGCGGAGAAAUCGGUGCACUGGGCUUGUUCUGACGCUGAGAUGCGAAAGCGUGGGGAGCGAACGGGAUUAGAUACCCCGGUAGUCCACGCUGUAAACGAUGUCUACUAGGUCGCGGUAACUCUGACGUUUUCGCGGCCGAAGCAAAAGUGUUAAGUAGACCGCCUGGGGAGUACGGUCGCAAGAUUAAAACUCAAAGGAAUUGACGGGGGCUCACACAAGCGGUGGAGCAUGUGGCUUAAUUCGAAGCAACGCGAAGAACCUUAUCCUGGGUUUGACAUAUUUGGAUGCUCUUGGUGAAAGCCAAGCAGGCUGCCUUCGGGUGAAACUUAUACAGGUGCUGCAUGGCUGUCGUCAGCUCGUGUCGUGAGAUGUUGGGUUAAGUCCUUAAACGAGCGAAACCCUUGUCGUUAGUUGCCAGCGCGUUAUGGCGGGGACUCUAACGAGACUGCCGGUGUCAAACCGGAGGAAGGCGGGGAUGACGUCAAGUCCUCAUGGCAUUUAGGCCCAGGGCUGCACACGUGCUACAAUGGUGCGGACAAACCGACGCAAGACCGCGAGGUGGAGCAAAUCGGAAAAACCGUGCCUCAGUUCGGAUUGCAGGCUGCAACUCGCCUGCAUGAAGUCGGAAUCGCUAGUAAUCGCAGAUCAGCUAUGCUGCGGUGAAUGUGUUCCUG